rnacentral:rRNA from 1 species
GAACCUGAUCUUUCAGUACAAAAGCUGAAAUAAAACCAUAAGACGAGAAGACCCUGCGGAGCUUUAAAAACACCACUUUUUAAGUUGGGGCGACUACGGAAACAAAAAAAACUUCCACGACCAGGGCUAACCCCCCCAAAAAAGGACUCACACACCAACCCAGCUGAUCAACGAACCAAGUUACCCCAGGGAUAACAGCGCCAUCCUCUUCUAGAGCCCCUAUCGCCAAGAGGGUUUACGACCUCGAUGUUGGAUCAGGACCCCCUAGUGGCGCAGCCGCUACUAAAGGUUCGUUUGUUCAACGAUUAAAGUCCUACGUGAUCUGAGUUCAGACCGGAGUAAUCCAGGUCGUUUU